rnacentral:rRNA from 1 species
GAUGAACGCUGGCGGCGUGCUUAACACAUGCAAGUCGAACGAUGAACCGGGUGCUUGCACUCGGGGAUUAGUGGCGAACGGGUGAGUAACACGUGAGCAACCUGCCCCUGACUCUGGGAUAAGCGCUGGAAACGGCGUCUAAUACUGGAUAUGUCCCGUCACCGCAUGGCGUGCGGGUGGAAAGAUUUUUCGGUUGGGGAUGGGCUCGCGGCCUAUCAGCUUGUUGGUGAGGUAAUGGCUCACCAAGGCGUCGACGGGUAGCCGGCCUGAGAGGGUGACCGGCCACACUGGGACUGAGACACGGCCCAGACUCCUACGGGAGGCAGCAGUGGGGAAUACUGCACAAUGGGCGGAAGCCUGGUGCAGCAACGCCGCGUGAGGGAUGACGGCCUUCGGGUUGUAAACCUCUUUUAGCAGGGAAGAAGCGAGAGUGACGGUACCUGCAGAAAAAGCACCGGCUAACUACGUGCCAGCAGCCGCGGUAA